CAGGCCUUCCCAGACUGACUGGACAAAUUAGCAAGCAAUCACCAGCUUUGGCUUCUGCAGGGUCCAGACAGGCCAGGAGAACGGCUGGUGAACCCACCGGACAGCAGGGCGGUUUCUGGUGCACACAUCGGGAUGUGAAGUUGUACCCCAUGUCUGCAGCUUGGACCUCACCACUGCUGUGUCUGGGCCGCAGGGAGCUGUUCUGGCACGUGACUCAGCCGUGGGAUGUUCGGGUGACUUCCUGUCUGAAACCUGCUCUCCUGUUGGACCCCUCCCUGCAGCCUU
rnacentral:lncRNA from 1 species